UGAGUCGGUUACCCGCAAGGGGCUGCUCCGCACUCCCGGGGCGUCUCUUUCUCAUUGCGAGUGGAGGCGCACCCAGAGCGUACACGCUGAUACCCGAAAGAUGGUGAACUAUGCCUGGCCAGGACGAAGCCAGGGGAAACCCUGGUGGAGGUCCGCAGCGAUUCUGACGUGCAAAUCGAUCGUCGGAGCUGGGUAUAGGGGCGAAAGACCAAUCGAACCAUCUAGUAGCUGGUUCCCUCCGAAGUUUCCCUCAGGAUAGCUUGCGCUCAUGUGAACGAGUCUCAUCCGGUAGAGCGAAUGAUUAGAGGCCUUGGGGUCGAAACGACCUCAACCUAUUCUCAAACUCCAAAUAGAUGAGAACUCCGGCUUCCUUGAAACUCUGUUUUUGAAGCCGGGGGCUCGGAUCAGAGUGCCAAGUGGGCCAAUUUUGGUAAGCAGAACUGGCGCUGUGGGAUGAACCAAACGUCGAGUUAAGGCGCCUAAAUCGUCGCUCAUGUGAAACCAUGAAAGGCGUUGGUUGCUUAAGACAGCAGGACGGUGGCCAUGGAAGUCGGAAUCCGCUAAGGAGUGUGUAACAACUCACCUGCCGAAGCAACUAGCCCUGAAAAUGGAUGGCGCUGUAGCGACGUUGCCUAUACUCGACCGUCAACGGCAAAGAUGGCUAGGCGGGCAACCGUUUGGCCGUUACGCCUUGACGAGUAGGAGGGCCGCGGCGACGUGCGCAGAAGGGUCUGGGCGUGAGCCUGCCUGGAGCCGUCGUCGGUGCAGAUCUUGGUGGUAGUAGCAAAUACUCCAGCGAGGCCCUGGAGGACUGAUGUGGAGAAGGGUUUCUUGUGAACAGCUGUUGCACAAGAGUCAGUCGGUCCUAAGCCCUAGGAGAAAUCCGAAGCGAUGGGUUGCCGUKAAGAUAUCUGAAGGCACCCGUUCGGGCGAAAGGGAAUCCGGUUCCUAUUCCGGAACCUGGCAGUGGAACCGUUCCAAUUCGGGCCCUCUGAGGACUCGUCAGGGCAACCUGAAUAGACCCGGAGACGCCGACAGGAGGUUGGGGGAGAGUUGUCUCUUCUCUAUAAGCGAUCGAGUUCCCUGGAAACUUCUAGCAAGGAGAUAGGGUUUGGAUCGCGAAGAGCACUGCAGUUACGGCAGUGUCCCAAUCUUCCUCUCGGACCUUGAAAAUCCGGGUGAGGGCCACGAGGAACCCCACGCCAGACCGUA
rnacentral:rRNA from 1 species